ensembl:scaRNA small Cajal body-specific RNA 4
AACAGGACCCAAAAGGCUGAGUCUGAUGAAGCAAGAUUUUAACGAUACACUCCUAGGAACAAAGGGUUGGAGAGACAAGCCCUUAUUUGGGGGGGGGGGGGGUUGAGGGGGGACCACAGGGCUGACUGUAUUAUCCAACAUUU